UUUCACUUGUAGAGAUCAUGUAUAUAAUAUAUGUAUUUUUCACUCAUAGAGAUCACACUUAUCGAAUGCAUCCAAGCCCCGUGUAUCAUGUUGCAAAGCAUUUCCACACAUAAGACUCUGUAAUUAUGAUUUCUACAGUUACCAUGAUACCUUACUGUGUGCUGUACCAAAAUUAGCUAUUCCCUCUGCUGCUAGCCUAGAUAUAUUUUCACUCUUACAGUGGUCUAAUGAACUUCUCUAUAGAUACUAUAUUAGAUCACAUUCCUGAAAAUAACCUUAAUAUAAAGCCCCCUAAAUGGUAUUACUGGAGCCUCCAACCUUAGAAGAAUUUGAUAAUGUCCUCACUUGUAUUCUUUUUCAAAGACGUUUUCUUAAAUUAUUUUAGCUUAGUAAAUACUAUUUUUUAAAAAAUGUGCGUUGGAACACUGUGAAUUCUAGAAACAUUUGCAGCUAUUCACAUUAUCUUUUGUCUUUCAGCGGGCUACAUUGAGAGACCUCAGCUGAUUCGAGCAAAAGUGCCAAUUGUGAAGUUCAGGGAUAAAGUCAGUUGUGUGGAGUUUGACUUGAAUGUAAACAAUAUUG
rnacentral:lncRNA from 1 species